UUAAAAAUUUUAUAUAAAUUUUAAUGAAAAAAAAUUUAAUGAAAAAAAAAAAACUUUUUUCGAAUGAUUUAUGAGAUUACGAUAUUUGGGGAGACUUUAAUUUCAAAAGUUCUGCACAUUCCUUUCCUUCACUAAAAGGAAUCACAAUCAGACGCCAGAAAUUUGUGCAAUUUAUCCAAAAUAAUUACUCUCAGUUGCAUAAGCUCAGGGGAAUUCCCAGAUCUCAGUGGUUUUUUAUUAGAUGAAAGGAUCUAAACGAAAAAUAGAGAGAAACAUUGCCAUAGACAUUCAACCUAGGUGCUUGUGGAAGAAG